rnacentral:rRNA from 1 species
AGUGAACGCUGGCGGUAGGCCUAACACAUGCAAGUCGAACGGCAGCACAGUAAGAGCUUGCUCUUACGGGUGGCGAGUGGCGGACGGGUGAGGAAUACAUCGGAAUCUACUUUUUCGUGGGGGAUAACGUAGGGAAACUUACGCUAAUACCGCAUACGACCUACGGGUGAAAGCAGGGGAUCUUCGGACCUUGCGCGAUUGAAUGAGCCGAUGUCGGAUUAGCUAGUUGGCGGGGUAAAGGCCCACCAAGGCGACGAUCCGUAGCUGGUCUGAGAGGAUGAUCAGCCACACUGGAACUGAGACACGGCCCAGACUCCUACGGGAGGCAGCAGUGGGGAAUAUUGGACAAUGGGCGCAAGCCUGAUCCAGCCAUACCGCGUGGGUGAAGAAGGCCUUCAGGUUGUAAAGCCCUUUUGUUGGGAAAGAAAAGCAGCAGGUUAAUACCCCGCUGUUCUGACGGUACCCAAAGAAUAAGCACCGGCUAACUUCGUG